rfam:Stegodyphus mimosarum contig18642, whole genome shotgun sequence.
GCUUUUUUGGUGCAGCGGUCAGCACACUCGGCGCGUAUUCCAGAGGUCCGUGGUUCGAGUCCCGGAGAAGGCA